rnacentral:tRNA from 1 species
GCCGGUUAGAACAACUACAGUUGUCGUUCCAUCUCCUAUUUCUCUAUCUUGUGAUUUAGAAAUAUU